rnacentral:rRNA from 1 species
UACAGAGGGUGCAAGCGUUGUUCGGAAUUACUGGGCGUAAAGCGCGCGCAGGCGGCUAUCCAAGUCAGUGGUGAAAGCCCGGAGCUCAACUCCGGAACUGCCAUUGAAACUGUUUAGCUUGAGGACGAGAGAGGUGAGUGGAAUUCCCAGUGUAGAGGUGAAAUUCGUAGAUAUUGGGAAGAACACCGGUGGCGAAGGCGGCUAACUGGUCCAUAACUGACACUGAGAGACGAAAGCUAGGGGAGCGAAUGGG